CCUACGGGGGGCAGCAGUGAGGAAUAUUGGUCAAUGGGCGCGAGCCUGAACCAGCCAAGUAGCGUGAAGGAUGACUGCCCUACGGGUUGUAAACUUCUUUUAUAAAGGAAUAAAGUGAGGCACGUGUGCCUUUUUGUAUGUACUUUAUGAAUAAGGAUCGGCUAACACCGUGCCAGCAGCCGCGGUAAUACGGAGGAUCCGAGCGUUAUCCGGAUUUAUUGGGUUUAAAGGGAGCGUAGAGGGGUUGUUAAGUCAGUGGGGAAAGUUUGCGGCUCAACCGUAAGAUUGCAAUUGAUACUGGCAGUCUUGAGGACAGUUGAGGUAGGGGGAAUUCGUGGUGUAGCGGUUAAAUGCUUAGAUAUCACGAAGGACUCCGAUUGGGAAGGCAGCUUACUAAACUGCCACUGACAUUGAUGCUCGAAAGUGUGGGUAUCAAACAGGAUUAGAUACCCCGGGUAGUC
rnacentral:rRNA from 1 species